UCACUGGGUCUCCCUAUACCCCCGUCAAAC
rnacentral:sRNA from 1 species